GAGGACGUCCUCUUGCACAAGCCUGGGUCCUGUUGCUGUCUCCCCACGCGUGGCUGCGAGUCCCAGGAAUCCCGGCUCCUGGGCCUCCCUGCCAACUUCUUUUCAUGCCGUGGCAGCAAUAUUAAGAAAGGAACCACUCCCUCUUGAGCAUGAGGAAAUCCUCCAGGACUGUGAAUCUGCUAACACAGAUAGGACUGGAGGAUUUAAGAGCAAAAACCCAAUUGCAUAGAUUGUUAUAUGACAUACGUGUCCAGAUGGUUAGGCCGGCUUAGCUUUAUUCCGGGAUUUGGAUCUGCUGAGCUACAGUACAUGAUUUUGGCAUAUAUCUUGCUGGUUUUGCAUGCAGAUUUACCUGAUGAACUCUUGCUUUGUAAUCUCUGACAGCUAUUUCUCCAGUGCUUGAUGAGCUGCACUAUGUGCCCAGCAUGCAGUAUUCACCUCCACAGGCAUGCAAAAAGAGGCAGAAGCACAGGAGCAAAUGUAGUCUAAGAGAACUGAUAGCUGCAUUUGAUCUGAUUUGCCUAAAAUAACAGGCCACGGUUGAUAAAAGUAUUUCAAAAAGAACAAACAUAGAAAUGUAUCUGGCCCCACCUUGCCUGAAAUGGUUGUGUGUUUGGGCAUCAACAGCAGUGUUUACUGUGACGCUUAAGUGAUGCUUCCAAGGUGUUCUGGAUCAUCUUUCACGAUCCUAGGAUUCGGUAUUACGUUAAUGGCUAAACUCAGUCCAUCCUGAAAAAAAAAAAACCUAUAACAAGAUCAGUGUUAUGAAGGGUAACUUUAGUAACAUUAUUUUUUGACGUGCACUUUUGCUCAGCGUGGACCAUAGCCACGGUCUCACUUAACAGAAGCAUUACACAAGAGCAAUUGGAUAAGAUUCCCAUCUGGUUUUUGGUCUCCCAUUGUAGCAAGUUUGGAAUCCUGGAGCUGAUUUUGUCUAGCAAAUGGCUACGUACUGUCUAGUCUUCCUGUACAACAGAAAAACAAAUGCAGGCCUCAGAAACUUUUUAUGGACAAGGAUGUCUACUCGCCAGACAUGCAUUAUGGACUUUCUCUCAAGAGGAGAUGCAAGGAGGUGGGAGCACUGUGAUAGGGGCUUUUCUCCCAGGGCUGGCUCAUGCAGAGCAUCCCAGCACACUUUCUGUGAAGCAAAUGGGCUCCUGACGUCCUGUGUGCAAUGGGAGACCCUCUUCUGGAGCUGCGCAAUGGAUUAGCUGGCUUUGGGAGCUUCUUUCCAAGCCUCAUUUCUUAUUUAGUUUCCUAAGAGGAAAUGAGACUCCUAUUAUUUUGGUCUGAUGCUCUCAUCAGCAUGAAAAAUUACGAUGUGAAAAUAUUUGGUAAUGAUUUUCUUCUAAUUGAAACCAAGGAAAAAAAAAAAAAAAAGAAGAAGAAGAAGAAAUUGCAUCUCCAAGCUCUCCAGCUUUUUUCAUUUUGGGACAUGCUGCCUGGAUUCACUUCCACUUGCCAUUGUGUCCCAGCUACUGCCAAUCGUUUGGAUGUGGAGCAAGAAGAGCCUCCAACAGGCAAACUGCAACAGUGAGCUUAUUGGCACAGCUUUUUCCAACAGUUAUCCACCACCAGUUGGUUUAUACAUCGAAG